CUCAGGUAAAAUGUCAUUGCAACCUGCAUAUAGCUUUCUUUUUUUUGUUUUCAAAACUUUGUUUUUUGUCCGUUACAGAUACUCAUCUCUUAUUACUAUUCAUCCAGCCAUUAGAUCCCUCCACUACCAGAGUAGUGUUAUACAUUUCUCUGAGCUUUAAUUAUAUGUGAAUCAGUGAACGUCUAGUUACCGCUUCAUUUUACUAUCCCCUAUGUAACUUUUUUAGUGUGCUCACAGAUGUUAUGGGGCUAUAUUUAUGUACAGUACACUCUUUAGUGUAACUGUUUCAAUAAAGGUUAAGGGACUCUGUAGGCACCCAGACCACUUUAGCUCAUUGAAGUGGUCUGGAUCCAAACCACCAUCACCCUGAAC